CUACAGGCUUAACACAUGCAAGUCGAGGGGCAGCAUGGUCUUAGCUUGCUAAGGCUGAUGGCGACCGGCGCACGGGUGAGUAACACGUAUCCAACCUGCCGUCUACUCUUGGCCAGCCUUCUGAAAGGAAGAUUAAUCCAGGAUGGCAUCAUGAGUUCACAUGUCCGCAUGAUUAAAGGUAUUUUCCGGUAGACGAUGGGGAUGCGUUCCAUUAGAUAGUAGGCGGGGUAACGGCCCACCUAGUCAACGAUGGAUAGGGGUUCUGAGAGGAAGGUCCCCCACAUUGGAACUGAGACACGGUCCAAACUCCUUCGGGAGGCAGCAGUGAGGAAUAUUGGUCAAUGGGCGAUGGCCUGAACCAGCCAAGUAGCGUGAAGGAUGACUGCCCUAUGGGUUGUAAACUUCUUUUAUAAAGGAAUAAAGUCGGGUAUGCAUACCCGUUUGCAUGUACUUUAUGAAUAAGGAUCGGCUAACUCCGUGCCAGCAGCCGCGGUAAUACGGAGGAUCCGAGCGUUAUCCGGAUUUAUUGGGUUUAAAGGGAGCGUAGAUGGAUGUUUAAGUCAGUUGUGGAAGUUUGCGGCUCAACCGUAAAAUUGCAGUUGAUACUGGAUGUCUUGAGUGCAGUUGAGGCAGGCGGAAUUCGUGGUGUAGCGGUGAAAUGCUUAGAUAUCACGAAGAACUCCGAUUGCGAAGGCAGCCUGCUAAGCUGCAACUGACAUUGAGGCUCGAAAGUGUGGGUAUCAAACAGGAUUAGAUACCCUGGUAGUCCACACGGUAAACGAUGAAUACUCGCUGUUUGCGAUAUACGGCAAGCGGCCAAGCGAAAGCGUUAAGUAUUCCACCUGGGGAGUACGCCGGCAACGGUGAAACUCAAAGGAAUUGACGGGGGCCCGCACAAGCGGAGGAACAUGUGGUUUAAUUCGAUGAUACGCGAGGAACCUUACCCGGGCUUAAAUUGCACUCGAAUGAUCCGGAAACGGUUCAGCUAGCAAUAGCGAGUGUGAAGGUGCUGCAUGGUUGUCGUCAGCUCGUGCCGUGAGGUGUCGGCUUAAGUGCCAUAACGAGCGCAACCCUUGUUGUCAGUUACUAACAGGUGAUGCUGAGGACUCUGACAAGACUGCCAUCGUAAGAUGUGAGGAAGGUGGGGAUGAC
rnacentral:rRNA from 1 species